CCAAUCUCCGGCAGACCCUCCCUCCCAGACCCUCCUACUUCCUGUCCAUCAUCCAUGUUGAAGGCAGCUUCAACAUGGAUGCUGUCCAGGAGGUGGGAGGGUCUGGGAGGGAGGGUCUGCCGGAGAUUGG